GAUGAAGAACGUAGCGAAAUGCGAUACUUGGUGUGAAUUGCAGAAUCCCGUGAACCAUCGAGUCUUUGAACGCAAGUUGCGCCCGAAGCCAUUAGGCCGAGGGCACGCCUGCCUGGGCGUCACACGUCGUUGCCCCCCCAUCUACUCCUUCGGGAUUGCGGGGGGCGGAUGAUGGCCUCCCGUGCGCCUUGUCGCGCGGUUGGCAUAAAUGCCAAGUCCUCGGCGACGCACGCCACGACAAUCGGUGGUUGCGAAACCUCGGUUGCCCGUCGUGUGCGGUCGUCGCGCAUCGAGGGCUCGAAAAAAUUGUCGGGCUCCGGCUCGGCUUUCAACGCGACCCCAGGUCAGGCGGGGUUACCCGCUGAAUUUAAGCAUAUCAAUACGGAGGA
rnacentral:misc_RNA from 1 species